UUAGGGGAUGAUGCUACCCAAGCCUCCAGGUUCUCACUUAACACAGAGUGAUGGAAAUACCAUGCUAUACUACAGUGAGUGACAGAUGUGGAUGCAGGGGAGAGAAAAGCAGACCUGGAUUUAAUUAUGUAAAUCCAUGGCUAUGCUUUAAUAAGGCACUGCAAUAAAACUGUCAGAACUGCCAGGUUUGGGAAAUAGGUUGAGCAAGGUUUUCAUUCCCGGCACUAUAUUUAGGAAGAAAAAAAAGAAAGAAAAAUGCAGAAGAGCUAGUUCAUCUUUGAAAGCCUUCAGAAACAUAUCAGGGACUCUUGAGCUUCCUGCUCCUGCCAAGCAGCAUUUGCAGUGACAACUGGAGCUGAAACCCCAGCAGCCCACACAGAAUCCUUGGGAAAGGAGAAAGCUGAAGUUUCAAGGUGGAUGUUUUCCAAUGAGCUCUCCGAGACUGAGCUUUCUAUCAUCACCUGCCGACUAUCCCUCAAACUUGUCACCCCCUCUUUUAACUCACAACCCUGCUUCCGCUGCCUGUUCGUGGGAUGUGACAAAGGUGACAAGGUCUUGGUGGUGGGUUUUCUCUUCCACAUCAGGUAGUGGGGAUGUGGAUGCUGCCACCUUUAUCUGAACCAUCCAAACAGUUUUUUUUUUUUUUUGGUUUAUUUUAUUUCAGUAUUAAAAAAAUAUUCCCCAUCUUGUUAUUAUAGGACUAGAAUUCUCAUAGGUUUUAUUGGUUGUGAACAGCAGAGGCCCAUUCUGAGGAGCUAAGUCCAAAGAGCCCAUUGAAAAGGAGUUUCCAGAGCUGGUGUCUUGUACUUCAUAGAUGUCCUGUGCUCUUGCCUGUUCUUUCAAGUCGUUAUCUGGAAAAUUUCCUGAAAUUGCCAAGAAUCUGCCACUUUCAAUAAUAUCAACUCUGAAAGAGAGAGAGAGGCUAGGAGAGACCGUGGGGGACAGAAGUGUUGAUUGCUGCCCAUGGCCAUGCUGGUUUCUUUUCUUCCCCUGUGUAAAGACUGCUGGCUUGGUAUCUCUGGACUCUAGCAGCGCUGGAGAAGAAAUUGGGAUUGUAAAAGAAAUCUUCGUUUUCUGUAAAAAUGUCCUCAAGGAAGUUCAACUCAAUUGCCUUCCUCUGAAAAAGACGCUAAACUACGUGAUUGUUCGAUGCUCCUGGAAAGAAAUAUCUGUUUCAUUUGAAGUUUCCAUUUUACCCUUGAAACCUAGGUUUGAUGGUGUGAGAAAUGCUUGCCUUCCUUUCUUUCUCCUGGUUGAGUUACAGAGAAUCAUUAGGUGCUUAUUAGACUAAUGUGAAGGCAGAUAACACCGGUUAUGGAGCCCAUGACUCAUUUUUAAAUUUUACCAGUUCUCUUUCACUUACUGCCUAAAUUGCAGGCUUUCUUGUGACAGGUAGCUCUGAAAUAGUAGAUAUCAAAAUUUAUGACUUAAAAAAGUUAAGGUGCUUAUCUUUAGAAAAUUCCUGGUAUGAGCCAAUUACCAACCUCUUUACUUUC
rnacentral:lncRNA from 1 species